rnacentral:rRNA from 1 species
AGAGUUUGAUCCUGGCUCAGGACGAACGCUGGCGGCGUGCUUAACACAUGCAAGUCGAACGGAGUCCAAGGUGCAACAAUGCACUGGAAGGUUCAGUGGCGAACGGGUGAGUAACACGUGAGGAACCUAUCCUGGUCACCGGGAUAACAGUUGGAAACAGCUGCUAAUACCGGAUGCCGUCGGAGCAUCGCAUGGUGCGCUGACGAAAGGGUUACUGGAUCAGGAGGGCCUCGCGGCCUAUCAGCUAGUUGGUGGGGUAACGGCCUACCAAGGCAUCGACGGGUAGCUGGUCUGAGAGGAUGAUCAGCCACACUGGGACUGAGACACGGCCCAGACUCCUACGGGAGGCAGCAGUGGGGAAUCUUGCGCAAUGGGCGAAAGCCUGACGCAGCAACGCCGCGUGCGGGAAGAAGGCCUUCGGGUUGUAAACCGCUUUCAGAAGGAACGAAACUGACGGUACUUUCAGAAGAAGGUGCGGCCAACUACGUGCCAGUAGCCGCGGUGACACGUAGGCACCAAGCGUUGUCCGGAUUUAUUGGGCGUAAAGAGCUCGUAGGCGGUUCAGUAAGUCGGGUGUGAAAACUUUGGGCUCAACCCAAAGCGUGCAUCCGAUACUGCUGUGACUGGAGUUCGGUAGGGGAGCGGGGAAUUCCUAGUGUAGCGGUGAAAUGCGCAGAUAUUAGGAGGAACACCGGUGGCGAAGGCGCCGCUCUGGGCCGAUACUGACGCUGAGGAGCGAAAGCGUGGGUAGCAAACAGGAUUAGAUACCCUAGUAGUCC